GCAGGGCUUACCUUUAUCCUACAAAACUGCUGGCGUUUAGGAGUUCAGAGGGAAAAAGAGUUUGCCAUGAAGGCAGCCCCGCUCCUCAGAGGGGCGUGCUGGGCAGCAGGGACCAGGGUGGUACCCAGGGGAUCAGCACGCACCCCAGUGAGUGCCACCAAGUCUUUCACCCCCAAAAUUGCACCCAUCUUGUCUUGAACAACCCAAAGCACCCCAGGCUGCAGUGGUGGCUGCUUGCCGAGGCACUCAGAGCCACACACCCCUCGCCUGAGGUUUUGCUCCCAGGCUCAGCACUGCUGCAGAGGGAACACACCACGCCUGGGCUUUCAUUUCCCUCCUUGGGUGAGCUUCAUGUUUAGCCCCAAGACCAGAGCAGGCUGCAGCACUGUGUGCUGGCCUGGGCUGACUCUCUCCAGCCUCUGUGUGGGUGCUUGGGCUCUGAGCCAUUCACCAGCACCACAGGGUAAAACCACCAAAGCCAAAAGCUGCAGGUGGUCCUGGGGGCAUGGGCAGAGGCAAUAGGUUGAGGGCAGCAGAGGGGAUUUGAGAAAAGUGGGAAGAUACAUCAAAAGUGAUCACUCACCAAGUGGCUUAACACAAUCAGCUUAGAGCACUAACGAGGAAAAACAGCCGCUGAAAGAAGUCAGAGCUUUAAUCUUGGAGCAAAUCCUGGCACUCCCCUCCCUGCCCCGUCCAUCCCCCAAGUACUUUGCCGUCUGUCCCCCAGCAGCCCAGGGGAUGUUUAUUUGCAUGGACUGCGGUGAGCAGGGUCUGCCCAAGGCUGGGGACACCAUCACGGGAGGACAGGCAGCGGGGAGGCAGGGCGGGAUGCUCUAUGACCCCGCAAUAGGUAAUGCUACAGGAAAGCAGGGAAGGAGGCAACUGGAGGGAGAGGCCACGGUCAGGGGAGAGCCGCUGCUACUGGAACAAACCCCACAGGACCAGCAGCUGUGAUGGGGCAGGCACAGAGCUGAAUCAAUACCUGCUUGGGAAAGAAGCAGCAAAACCUGAAGAUGGUUUCUCUCUGAUGUGGUCAGGUCUGGGAGGCGCAGCUGGAGACUGAAAAACAUGGUUAAAAUGCACAGGAGUAGCUGAAAGGGGAGAAAUUCUCCUCAAAUUCAAGACAAGCUGGAGGACCAAGCCCACGGACUUGGCAGAGCAGAGACAUGUCACAGUGCAGGUACAGGACGCUGCAGCACUGGGAUAUGGGGAUGGAGGUGAAGUCAGGGAAUGGGCAUAACCUGGGCUCCAGCACAGGGCUGAUGAAGGAUGGGAGCAAAUAAGCCGGAGUUGCUCAGCUCCUCUGGUUCACUCUGUGCAGAAAGCACCAAGAUGCAGGGCUGUGAGACAUUGUCUCCGAGCCCAUAAAUCCAGUAUCCAGACAGCAUCUUCAUCUGGAAAAACCCACAGCACUGACCACCCACCCAAUGUGGGCAGUUUAGGGAAGAGAUUUUAGGGCUUGCUCCCUCCUUUCAAACAUGAUCAGGCCAGACCCCAGAUGGGAUGAUGGGAGGUGAAGAGGAACAGGAAAAACACAGCCUUUGUCUGCAAUCCUUGUCUCAAAUCUCACCAGGGAGCAAGUGGGACCCAUGAGUCCCUGGGUCUUCAGAGGCAAGGUAAAGGGACCACAGCAAAGCCUAAAAAAGGGAUGAAGUUAAACCACAAUG
rnacentral:lncRNA from 1 species